rnacentral:rRNA from 1 species
CCUACGGGAGGCAGCAGUAAGGAAUAUUGGUCAAUGGACGAAAGUCUGAACCAGCCAUGCCGCGUGAAGGAUUAAGGCCCUCUGGGUUGUAAACUUCUUUUAUCUGGGACGAAAAAAGGGUAUUCUUACUCACUUGACGGUACCAGAGGAAUAAGCACCGGCUAACUCCGUGCCAGCAGCCGCGGUAAUACGGAGGGUGCAAGCGUUAUCCGGAUUUACUGGGUUUAAAGGGUGCGUAGGUGGGUUUGUAAGUCAGUGGUGAAAUCUCCGAGCUUAACUCGGAAACUGCCAUUGAUACUAUAGAUCUUGAAUUAUCUGGAGGUAAGCGGAAUAUGUCAUGUAGCGGUGAAAUGCUUAGAUAUGACAUAGAACACCAAUUGCGAAGGCAGCUUACUACGGAUAUAUUGACACUGAGGCACGAAAGCGUGGGGAUCAAACAGGAUUAGAUACCCUGGUAGUCCACGCCCUAAACGAUGGAUACUCGACAUCAGCGAUACACUGUUGGUGUCUGAGNGAAGANAUAUAUCCACCNGGAGUAGANCGCAGAUAGUAAGUAAAGAAGUAGACGNGNGAGAGAGACGACGACGACGACGAGGGAGGAGG